UAGGAGUCCCAUUUCUCAGGGACACACUUGGAGCAGGGACCUAAGGGAAACUGGGCUCCAAGACUCACUCUUGACUCCUCUCUGUGUCUCACACAUUAGCAAAUCCCAAAGGCUCUACCUUGACAGGAUGUUCUGAACCAGACCACUUCUUGCCAUCCCGCCUUUCCUGCUCUCAUCCGAGCCCCCACAUCUCCUGUCUAGGUGACGCCAGCAGCCUCCCAACUGGUCCCCGGAUCCUCCUUGCUCCCCACAGGCUGUUCUCCACGCAGCAGCCAGAGGGACCCUUUGGAAGGUAGAAAGACAAUCCAGCCCCUCUGGUCUCCACUUCAGCCGUUGCCCUGAUAUUCUCAGCUACGUGUUUUCAGGUUCUAGCGACCAAUACGACUUACAUGCCAGAGUUGAUUCCUCCAGGCUUACCGUACACGGCAAGCUGUUGAAAGGAUGCUGUUCAUCUGAGCCAUAGCUGGUUUGGUUUUAAAACUUGGAGAGUUAAAAACUUAUCUCGACACAAAAACCUGCACACAGCUGUUUCCAGCAGCUUUCUUCAUAAUGGCCAAAACUGGAAGCAAGCAAGAUGUCCUUCAGUAGGAGAAUGGAUAAAUAAACUGUGGACAUCCGGACAAUGGGAUAUUAUCCAGUGCUAAAAAGAACUGAGCGAUCAAGCCAUGAAAAGGCAUGGAGGAAAUUUCAAUGCCUAUUGCUAAGUGAAAGAAACCGAUCUGAAACUACAUUCUGGAAGGUUCC
rnacentral:lncRNA from 1 species